UGAAAAAGUAGUUUUAUAUAAGUCUACACCAUUUAUUGAAGAUUGUUAAGUCAAACAUGGCCUGUAUAUUCUAUUUUCAGUUGACUGUGAUCAUGGAGAGUCCUGGCAUCAUGAGGCUGCAAUGCCUGACUUGGCAAAUGUGCAGAGCUGUCAGGAGGCCUCAGGAGCCAUAGAGCCUCCACAAUGUAAGGAGCUCCAGAAAAUGGCCCCUAACAACUCACUCAUGGUAUCUCAAUCCCUGGACAUCAUUCCAAGUGAAGCCAAUGAAUCGGCUCCAACUUCACAGAAGGUACAGUUUAUUUGCUGUCUUGCUUUUUUUUUUAUUUUUUUUUAUUCUGUUAACUACAUACAAAGCUUUGAAUUGUCUAGCUCCACAGUACUUAAGUGACCUUCUGACACGCUAUAUUCCAUCACGUUCAUUACGAUCACAAAAUUCUGGAUUGCUAAUAAUUCCAAAAAUAUCAAAAUCCACAAAAGGAGGUAGAUCCUUUUCAUACUUGGCUCCUAACACUGUUCGGGAUGCAGACACACACUCAGUUUAAGUCUAGACUAAAGUUUCAUCUAUUUAGCCAGACAUACACUUGAUUUAUCCUUCAACUCACAAUUAGGCUGCUUUAGUUAGUUCUGCUGGAACCAGAAACAUCCAUCAUGAUCUAUAACUCUGCAUAAAAUUGAAUGGCAUCUAUGCUAAUAUUAUUCUAUUUGUUUCCAUGUCUCAACCUCGGGAUUCAUAUCCUGAGGUUACCAAAGCCUGCCAGAUCCAGCUCCAUUCCUGCUUGAUGUCGGACUCCACUGCUACGUGCUGCUGAGAGAUGAUGACAAACUACAGCCGGUGCUAGCCAGACAUCACUUCGGUCUUUUAACUUCAGAGGAUGAACUGAUGCCGACUACAACUGUAAGACAUCGGAUACUUCAUAUGCCACUGCCUGAACCUUGGACUUAGGAUGGACCCCUCCGAACCGCACCAAAAUUACCUGAAGGUUGAACUGCGAUGCACCUUAUUAAUCUCUGCCUGCAUCACCUUUGUCUAUUGAUGGACUACACUCUUGAAAUGGAAUACAUAGACUAUAAUUUAAUUGCCAACAAAAGCCUUCAUCAGCCAACUAACAAAGGACAAUUCAUCUAUGUGAACUUCUGCAGUUAAACCAGGCUGGACUUCAAAGACAUCUGAAAGUUCAUAAAAAAUAUUGUAUUUUUAUUUUUAAAACACUGGACCUUAAUGCUUACUUAAUUUACAAUUUUAAAACCAUGACUUGCACUGCACACAAAUAACUAAUAUUGGCAUUAUAUUCAUGUUGUUUUGCAAGAGGGGAAUUGGCCCCCACAGUGAGUUAUUUCUCUUCAUUAACCAACAUCUUAUAGAGUUUUGUGUUCCUUGCCACAGUUGCCUUCAGCUUGCUCACAGGGGUUCUAAAUACAAUUAUUAUUUAAUUAUUUAAUUUGUAUACACAUUUUACAAUAAUAUUUAAUCAAACUACACAAUGUUCACUGUAAGACAUUAUAGAUAUUAGAGUUUCUUUUUUUUAUUUUUUAUUAAUGCAUGAUUUCCUGUAAAGCUGCUUUGAAACAACGUGUGUUGUGAAAAGCACUAUAGAA